rnacentral:rRNA from 1 species
GACGGAGGAUGCAAGUGUUAUCCGGAAUCACUGGGCGUAAAGCGUCUGUAGGUGGUUUAAAAAGUCUAUUGUUAAAAAUUGAAGCUUAACUUCAAAGAUGCAAUGGAAACUUUUAAACUUGAGUAUGGUAGGGUAGAGGGAAUUUCCAGUGGAGCGGUGAAAUGCGUAGAGAUCGGAAAGAACACCAACGGCGAAAGCACUCUGCUGGGCCGACACUGACACUGAGAGACGAAAGCUAGGGGAGCGAAUGGG